CGCACCAACCCUAGCUCCCCGUCCACAGCCACACACUCCUCCCUCCUCCCUCUCACAGCCGCCACACCCCAUUCCUCUCUUCCUCCUCCCUCCUCCUUCCUGGAUCCCUGCCACCGCCACACCCACUCGUCUCCUCCUCUCUCCUUCCUGAUCUCUAUGUUGUCCGCAGCGCGAGAGGAGCAGCGGCGGCGGAGAUGCUCCCGGCCCCGCCUCUCGAUGCACAGCCCGCGCCGCCGUGGACGUCCCGAGCCCCGUGGAGGUGCGCCGCCGGCCACGAGCGCCGCGAUGGCUGUGGUCCCGCUCAUGGAGUCAUCCAUGGCCGCCCGGAACGCGAAGAGGAGGGAGGGGCUCGCGGCGCGCUGGGGGGUGGGGGGGGGGGGGCAGGCGGGGGAAGGAAUGGGCGGGUGGGAAGGAGGCGAGCGGGACGGGCGGGGCGGCAGAUGGGGAGGCGGCUAGGGUUCUACCUGCUGCUGACGGAAGUAGCAGGGUUUGAAGGAGCGGCAGAUGUGGGCAUGGUUGCGGUUGGGGAAGGCUCGCCGGCUGGGGGACGACGAGCAUCGGUGAGCGCAACAAAAGGAAGCCAGGCAUCGGCGUACGACAACGAUUUGGGCGCCUGCGGCAUGACGGCGAGUCGCUGCCGAAUGCUCAGCGAUGGGGCGAGUUGGUUAAGGCGUCAGUGGCGCCUUUGCUCGUCGCCAAGGAUGGCACGUGCGCGAUCUGAAGUACAACGCCGGCCAACUUCGGCCUCCGAGGCUUCCCUGACACCCUCCUCUACCACUACCUCAAUAAAAAGGUCUUCGAAGGAUUAGGGCUUAGGGCAACUCGAUGGCAGCCAGUCGGAGUUUGCUAAGUUGCAUAUGCAAGUCCUUUUGAAAUAUGAAACUUCUGUGUGGUGAUGAGCUUCUGCUCAUCUUGCUUGAUUCAUCUCCGGUGAAGGGGGCUUGUCCUUCCAUGGUGCUCAGCCACGGACAGAUUUGGAGGGAAAAUAGGAGAUCCUGACGAAAAUGAGCAUGCUAGCGGUGGAUCCAAGGAUGCAUGGUGAUUGUGCCGGGUUUGUGCUCUGGCUCUUCUGUUGGGUUUUUCCAUGGUUGUAUAUGGCAUAUUGGCGUUAUCAGGAGUUGUGGUUCUGGAUUUGUUCGUUGCUCUAUAGAUCUAUUAUUUGAAGAACUGAUGAUAUACAGUGAGUUACCUUGCACCAUUAUUUGGCCUUUCAAGCGCUUGAUUUGAAUUUUUUAAUGUAUUCAAAGUGUCCCUACUUCCUAACAAGCCACCCAUUUUGUCGUGUGUAUGUGUUGUCAUCACAAAGUUGUUUUCUGCCCACCCGAAAAGCGCUCACCCAGACAAUCACGUGGAGGUGUGCUUUGCAUUAUUAUCUUUAAUUGAAGUUCUAUUGUGUUGUCAUCAUAUUCAAAACUAUAGUUCUUUACUUGCAGCAUCUUGAAGUGAGCAAUAUUUCGAUGCUUAUUUCCUGAUGAUUUAAGAAGUUUCGUGCACUACCAAACUUAAUUUGAAAACACUAGCUUGUUUUGUAGGAAUUGUCUUUCUUUGCUUCGAACUUGUGAUUUAUGGCUGAUGUCAACUCCAUCUUUUUAGGUGCUUGUCAAGUAUGGGUGGAAAGCUUGACAAUUCGUUUUUAUCUCUAUGAUCUCCUCAUGACCACAACCAUAGUGCAGGAUGCUGCUGCCCAAGUUGUCAUUUAUCUUUGGGUAUUCCUUAAUGUUGGGUCUACUACAUGUCCAGAUCACUAGAUGAUACAAAGGUGUCUUCCCUUCCUUUGUUUAUAUUCCUUUAUGUUGGGGCUGGUGUUAGGGGCCAGUUCUUUUGGGCAAUUCUCCCAGAAUUAACCCCCUCCCCAGCUUCUCCCAGAAUUGCCACUUAAUAUUUUUUUACAAUUCCUAGCUAAUUAGACCUUAACUAGCUAGGAAUUGUAAAAAAAUAUUAAGUGGCAAUUCUGGGAGAAGCUGGGGAGGGGGUCAAUUCUGGGAGAAUUGCCCAAAAGAACUGGCCCUAGGUUCCACUGGAUCAAAUUUUAGCUGUUGUUUCUUAUGUUCUAGAGAAGCUAGAGGAGUAAUUAGUGUUCUCUGUUUUUCUAAUGAGUGUAUGUGUGGAACUAUGGAUGCAUACAAAUAGUAAAGGAGCAAUUAACUUUCUUUUUUGCAAGUAUAUGUGGAUGCGCAUAAAGUGUUGGCUGUCUGCUUAUAUCAAGUAUGGUCUAUAUUUUGGUCAUAUCAGCCCCAGUAUUGAGCAUACCGACUGAUAUUCUGGUCAUAUCAGCCCCAAUAUUGAGCAUGCCAGCUGAUAUUCUGGUCAUAUCACACUUUCUACAGUCUACACCAAAUCUGUGAGCACGAUAUCUGAUAUUUGAAUCUUGAAAUUAUCAUUAGAAAGGCAAAGAGAUCUUGUAGAAAAAUAGGUUACAUGCUCAGGUAUAUCAUAUAUGGAGAAAAGGCACCUAUCAGCUGUAUUGGUUCUUUCGUAUUUUUGUGCAGUCCUUCUAUUAAUUUUUCUAACUUUCUGGAUUUAUAUUUGAGCAAGAUAAAUAUAUUCCAUCUCUAUCCCAGUACAGAAUCGAAGCUUCAUCAAAUCUAUCUGGGCGUUCAUUGUGUAAUACAAUGUUGAGAUUGAGAACAUUUUCAGAGGGGAACUUAAGGUAUCACCUAAUGAUAUAAUAUUAGUCACUAUCCGUUGAUUGGUAAAUUUUGCUUUAGUAUACACCCCUUCGGGAUAUGGCUUUCAAUCCUAUACUUUUCUUUGAGUAGACAAUUGUGGUCUUAAUUACUUUAAAGGAUCGUUAAUAUAUUACUGUCGCUUUCCAUGUUCAGUUAUUCACACUAUAUUAUUGCUUGGUUCUGAUAGCUUGCUAUUAUUAGAGAAGGAAUGGUAUUCCCGUCUGACAUUCAAAAGCAGUCAAGAUGGUGAAGUUUAGAACGGAGGAGCUCCGCGGAAUUAUGGAUAAAAAAUAUCCAUAACAUGCCUGUCAUUGCUCAUGUCGACCAUGGUAUGUGACGGAGCAGUGACAGUUGUCUCUAAUUGUCAAGUUUAUACGGUGGAAUCUUCUUGAUUGAUGAUAUAGCCUUCUCUUAGUUGUACUGUAUUAAUCCUUAAAACUGGAUCAUUUAAAAUUAGUUAGAUUUAAUGAGUUGUUUCACUGUUUUCAAAUAAGUAGUUUAAGCCCUUAUUGUGUCCCGAAGCUUAUUCUUUCUACCUUUUUAUGAUUGAUAUAUGCUCUAAUAAGCUUAAAUGUAACUAUUGGCAUAUAAUCUCAUGGCUCAAAAUCUUAGUUGUUGAAUGUAUUAAAAUUUAUAAGAGUUUGCACUAUAUUUCAUCCUGCAGUAUUACCAAUAACUGAAUAUUAAGAGCACCGACGAUUCCAGGUUGUACAUUCGGGAAAUGCUUUUAUCUUGCAGGCCAGUUUUACAUUUACUUCUUCGAUAAGGAGAUGAUCAUGAACAAAGUAUCAUGGUAUUUGCCUUGGCAUUACUGAUGUUGUGUUCAGAUUACUGAAGGAUUGGUAGCCGCAAAGGAGUGAAGGGUAGAAAAUAUGUCCAUUGUCAUUGAAUUGGUGGGAUUGUCCCCAAGUUAGUGCUGCAGAUGUUUCUAUUUUAGAGCAAGAAGCCAAAUCACGCUGUUCAUUGUAAAUCUUGAAAAACUUGUUUAUUGUCACUUCUAUAUCUGUUGUAAACGUUUGUUCGUGA